GGGCUCGCUUCAUUAGCACAUAUACUAAAAUUGGAAUGAUACAGAAAAAUUUUGUAUGGCCCCUGCACAAGGAUGACACUCAAAUUUGUGAAGCAUUUCGUAUUUUU
ensembl:snRNA U6 U6 spliceosomal RNA